UCUUCAUGAAUCUUGGUGGUUCGCUCUUUUUCUUUCAUUAUUCUUUCCAUUUCAAUUUGAAGAGGGUCAUGAUACAAAGUCAAAGGCAUCCGAGAUGAAACAGCAGGUGCAGUCUACAAGGGAAAGUCAUUAGAAA